CCUACGGGCGACAGCAGUGAGGAAUAUUGGUCAAUGGACGAGAGUCUGAACCAGCCAAGUAGCGUGAAGGAUGACUGCCCUAUGGGUGGUAAACUUCGUUUAUAAAGGAAUAAAACGAGGCACGUGUGCCUUUUUGCAUGUACUUUAUGAAUAAGGAUCGGCUAACUCCGUUCCAGCAGCCGCGGUAAUACGGAGGAUCCGAGCGUUAUCCGGAUUUAUUGGGUUUAAAGGGAGCGUAGAUGGGUUGUUAAGUCAGUUGUGAAAGUUUGCGGCUAAACCGUAAAAUUGCAAUUGAUACUGGCAGUCUUGAGUACAGUUGAGGUAGGCGGAAUUCGUGGUGUAGCGGUGAAAUGCUUAGAUAUCACGAAGAACCCCGAUUGCGAAGGCAGCUUACUAAACUGUGACUGACAUUGAUGCUCGAAAGUGUGGGUAUCAAACAGGAUUAGAUACCCGAGUAGUC
rnacentral:rRNA from 1 species